rnacentral:rRNA from 1 species
UGGGGAAUAUUGCACAAUGGAGGGAACUCUGAUGCAGCGACGCCGCGUGAGGGAUGACGGCCUUCGGGUUGUAAACCUCUUUCAGUAGGGACGAAGCGUAAGUGACGGUACCUGCAGAAGAAGCACCGGCUAACUACGUGCCAGCAGCCGCGGCAAUACGUAGGGUGCGAGCGUUGUCCGGAAUUACCGGGCGUAAAGAGCUCGUAGGCGGUUUGUCACGUCGUCUGUGAAAUCCUAGGGCUUAACCCUGGACGUGCAGGCGAUACGGGCUGACUUGAGUACUACAGGGGAGACUGGAAUUUCUGGUGUAGCGGUGGAAUGCACAGAUAUCAGGAAGAACACCGAUGGCGAAGGCAGGUCUCUGGGUAGUAACUGACGCUGAGGAGCGAAAGCAUGGGUAGCGAACAGG